rnacentral:rRNA from 1 species
AUUUCGUUUGAUUUGAUUUGUCCUCGUCCUCUGCACAUGAUGGUAACUUGGAUUUUGCUUGGGCAGGUGCCUUUCUCUCUUGAGGACCCGGAUUACAAGGGUCUUGAGCUAGAUCUGAUAGUGUUGUGCGAGAAGCAUGGGAAGCCAUCAGAGAGGCUUGUUGCGUUUGAAGGAACAAUGACUGGGAGAAGGUUCUUAGCAUGUGCAGAGCCGGAAGGUCAGAAUUGUGGGUUUGUUCAGUGGGUUGAUGAGCAGUGGCCCCCAACAAUGGAGAAUGCAUUGCUGAAGCUUUGGUCAAUGGUUGAAGAGAGCAAGUCUGCUAGGGUGAAUGAUAAUCUUCAAAGUGCUCUAACUAUUCAUUAGUUGACAGAAGAAAAGAACAAGCUGGAUGCAGACUAUGACAAGUUAGUGAAAGAUGUGCAUCAACUUGUGGACUUUCAGCAGGAUAGGGUUGUGGAUUUCAGUUAUCUGCAGUCUGCUGUCACAUAUCAGCACCAAUGCAGAGCUGAAUUGGUGGCUGGUAUGAAUGCAGAAAUGGCAAAGAAAGAUGCAGCUGCACAGAAGCUUCAACAAAAGUAUGAAAUCCUGUGCAACCUGACAAGUGCUCAAGAAACUGUCAUCCAAAACUUGAAGUUGAAGAAUAUGAAAGAGAAGGAAUUGUUGAGUGAGGGUAGGAUGAAUUUGGAGUUGAAGAAAGCAGAGUUGACAACGUUUGAGGAGAAGCUCACCCAAGAGAAGCUAGAGUUGAAGCUCCAGGUUGCUGAUCUGCUGAAGCUCAAGGAAAACCAUAAUGAAGAGAAGCAGAUGCAAGAGUUUAAGAUUACUGAGCUCAUCAAGGCAGAGGAGAAGCUGAAGGAGAAGAUCAAGGGGAUCCAGGCCAUCUUGCAGAACUGA